rnacentral:lncRNA from 1 species
ACUCUAUACGUGUUCAAUGCUGUAACUCAAGACACAAUGCCAGUAAUGGAGAGCAUUUCCCUUCUUGAUAAAACAGUGUCUGAUCUGAGAACACUGGUAACUCUGAGAUGUGGCCUCCCCGCAACCAUUAUUGUUUUGAAGAUUUACAAUCAAAACCAUUUCCAAAUUAAAUCUGAACAAAUGGAGGCAUUAUUUCUAAAUGGAAACCUCUGGGAAGUGAAGUUCUACAAUUUCUCCUCAGAGUACUUUGCUAUAGUGCACAUACCUGCUCUGCACGCUUGCUGGAGGCUGAACCCUGCCUAGAACAUGAUGGGGGCUCACAUAAGGAAGGGCACACAGUGGCAUUUGUCCCCAACUAACUGAUAAUUUAGUUAUUUAAUGAAGUACCAAAGGAUGAAACAAAACUAGGAAAA